AUCUUUGACCAUCAGUCUGUGACCUGCCCCUUCUCUUUACAUGCAGCCGCUCUCUGCUCCCUGCCCCAAUGAACAUCUGCACUAGGCCCAAGCCUUGGAGUAAUUUACCUGAAGAGUGACACCAUUGAUUUUGAAACUACUACUUCUAUGUUACUGGAAAACGCUAAACCUGGGAGACUAACAUCCCUCUUAGGCUUCAGAGAACCCAGAUCCAGACCUAGAAAUCAGGAGCUUAUGUUGCCUACAGAUUACAGAGAAGUCCACAAGUGAGCAUGUAUUUCUGUCGUAGGAAGUAUUUCAUCUGUGCAGAAUGCCAGUGCCUGCUUUUACUUCUCAUGGGCCCUAGAGAAUGGACAGAUUGGGUUAUAAUCUUUGCAGUCUUUGCUAUUUAGAAACUUGGCUUUCCAAUGCAUAAAAGAGAAAUAAUAAUAAUAAAACAGAAACUUGCUAGGUGCAAAAAUCAAUAAAGAGGAUAAAAAAUUAAAAUGUG
rnacentral:sRNA from 1 species